rnacentral:lncRNA from 1 species
GGUUAUCCAACCCCUUACCCCCGAACCAAACACAAGUUAGAUUAGGGUUUUUGGUCGCGUCCUGUGUAGCUGGAGCUCCCGCCGGCGACCGCUCCGCCAAGCCUCCACCGCGCCCUAGCGGUUCUUGAGCUCUCGGAUCCCGAUCCCGAGCAUCAUCCCUGCGGCGACGAUCCCGACCCCUCCUCCGAGCGUCCACCGUGCCCUAGCGAUUCUUGGAGCUCCUUGGGAUCCUGAUCCCUGGAGCAAUUCUUGGACCUCUAGAGCCUCAUCGAUCCCUGCAGCGAUGAUCUGACUCUUGGAGCUACGGCCGCCCUAAUGUGAGAUCCUCUCUUCCUCUUGUGCUAUAUUAAUCCAUCGAUUCCUGCCAGAAAAUGACUGUUGAAUUACCCUAGUGAUUCCAAUCUGUUGAAUCCUGCACUAUUAACUGUCGUAGUUCCUUGGUGAUUUCGAUCUGUCGAAUCCUGCUUUGCAUUGUUUCCCUCGGCCUGGUUAGAAAUAACUGUUGAAUUACCUAGUGAUUCCAUUCUCUCGAAUCCCUGCGCUAAUAACUGUUGUAUUCCCAUAGCGACUCCAAUCUGUCGAAUCCUGUUCUGCAUUGUUUCCCUCGGCCGAUUCUUUUGCCGAGCAGGGGCAGAGAACGAUCUCAGGAAUAGCUGCAAAUAACUGUUGAAUCCCUACUGGUGGGGAUGUAGAUAUUGUAUAGCUCUGCAAACAAAAAAAAAAAGAAGAGAGUAUGUGAUGGCUUUUUGGUAUUGUGCUUGUUGUAAUUGUGCAGCGAUGAUCCCGACCCCCCACUGCUUGAGCAUCCACCAUGCCCUAGUGAUUCUCAGGGCGCUUUGGGAUCCCAAUCCCUGGAGCAAUUCUUGGAGCUCUAUAGAAUCAUCCCUGCACUGAUCCCUGCAGCAAAGAUUCAAUUCUUGGAGCUGCAGCUGAUCCUUUCGCCGAGCGCCGUGAUGUGAGAUCCUCUCUUUCUCUUCUUUGUUCUACUUUAAUCUGUCGAAUCUUGCUAAGAAAUAAUUGUUAAAAUCAAAUAACUGUUGAAUUCCCCUAGCGAUUUCAAUGUCGAAUCCGGCACUGAUAACUGUUGAAUUUCCCUAGCAAUCCCAAUCUGUUGAAUCCUGCUCUUCAUUGUUUCCCUCGGCUGGUACUUUCGCCAAGUGGGGGUAGGGUACGUUCCCUCGAGAGAGGGUGAGGAGUCGAGCCUUUCUUCCCCUUCGCCACGCGAGGCCAAUUGCUCCAGGCCCGAGCUCACUUGUGUGUCCCCACACUGAACACCGCUCCUUCAAGCCCUAAUGUGAGAUUCUCUCUUCUUCCUCUCUAGCUAUAGUAAUAAAAGUUUCAGAAAUAGCUGCAAAUAACUGUUGAAUUCCUACAGGUGGGGAUGUAGAUAUUGCAUAGCUCUUGUUAAUAGUCGUGAUGGUUAUAAGAAAUAGAAAUGUAUGUGCUGACUUUUUGGUAUUUUGCUUGCUGUAAUUGUUUGAUUACUUUAUUAUAGGGGGAGUGCUUCUUUCCUCGAUUUAUUCUUAAAAAUAAAAUAAAAACUGUUUGAAUCUUGCUGAAGUUAUUUUUCCUUUUUUUUUUGAAAAAAAAAAUUUUCUUUCAUGUUUGUCUUUUGUGGAGGAUCUAAAUGUUGACCUGAGUCGUAGCAAACAAUUCGUAGUGAUCCAUGCGAAUCGACCAAACACCGUAAUUCGAAGGGUUCCUCCUUAUUUGAGAGAAGCAGGUCAACAGUACUACACUCCGAAUGUAGUUUCAAUUGGGCCAUACCAUUGAGGAAAACCGAAUCUGCAGGGAGAUGGAAGUCAUAAAAGAAGCAGCUGCCUAUGGUUUUAUCGCGAGCUCUAAUCAUGCAGUUGACGAGUUUUAUGCGAAAGUAAAUGAAGUGAUUAACCAAGCGCGAAGCGCUUAUGAGGAUGACUUUGGUCAUAUAAGUGACAAAGAAUUUACGCGAUUUAUGUUGAUUGAUGCUUGCUUUUUACUUCAAUUUAUGUUGACUGUUUUAGAUAGAAAUUCCAUGUGGUCAAAGGGAGUAUCGUUCACAAACAUAUCCAAAGAUAUUAUCUUAGCCGAAAACCAGUUACCGUGGUUUGUACUAAUGGUAAUUUUGAAUCUGAAGGAUGAUGAGAAGGAGAAAAUUUUUGAGGAAAUUGAUGACUUCUACUUGGUCACACAAAAUGCUCCUUGGAUUCAACAAAACAGCAACAAUCCUUCAGAUCCAAAAUUGCCAUUAGUACAAACCACGGUAACUGAUUUUCGGCGAAGAUAAUAUCUCUGGAUAUGUUUGUGAACAAUACUCUCUUUGACCACAUGAAAUUUCUAUCUGAAACAGUCAGCAUAAAUUGAAGUAAAAAGCAAGCAUCAAUCAACAUAAAUCGCGUAAAUUCUUUGUCACUUAUAUGACCAAAGUCAUCCUCAUAAGCGCUUCGCGCUUGGUUAAUCACUUCAUUUACUUUCGCAUAAAACUCGUCAACUGCAUGAUUAGAGCUCGCAAUAAAAUCAUAGGCAGCUGCUUCUUUUAUGACUUCCAUCUCCUGCAGAUUCGGUUUUCCUCGAUGGUAUGACCCAAUUGAAACUACAUUCAGAGUGUAGUACUGUUGACCUGCUUCCCUCAAAUAUGGAGGAACCCUUCGAAUUACGGUGUUUGGUCGAUUCGCAUGGAUCACUACGAAUUGUUUGCUAUGACUCAGGUCAACAUUUAGAUCCUCCACAAAAGGCUCCAUUAUUCUCUGAAGCAAAUAUGAAAGAAAAUUUUUUUCCAAAAAAAAAAGGAAAAAUAACUUCAGCAAGAUUCAAACAGUUUUUAUUUGAAGAGGCGCAGAGCUAGAUCGUGUCUUCAUCGAACGAUUUUCCACAAUAGGGAAGUAAUAGUGUCAGCAGUAACUUUCAUCUUGCUUGUUUUUAGAAUUCUGCAAACCUUUUUCACAAUUUUUCCACUCAAACACUAGAUUCUUUUUCUCCUGUUUUUCUUGUGGCAUAGGGACCAUGGGGUGGAUCUUUGUUUCUAAAGAGGCAUUGGACUGUCUGGUUUUUGUUGUGCCUUUCUAACGGCAUUGGAUCGCUGUUUUUUUUUAUGUCGAUAAUGUUUUGUACUGUAAAUAGAAACUUCGGAUCAUCUUCCAUCUAAUGAAUGUAUGUUUGCUUAUCUUUGCUCUGGAUUAAUCUAAGUAGACUUCAGAUUUUUUAGUUGUUUUAGUUUUACUUUUUACGUUUCUUGCGCAACUAUUUAGUUUCAUACACAUCAUGACAUGAAUAUCUAUUUAUGAUGUGUAUAUUCACGAUUUGUAUCAAAUUUUACUCGGUUAGUUGGAUUAUGGCAAGUUGGACAAAAUUUUGGUUUCUGCAGAAACAGAAGCUGUUAUUUACAAAUUUGGUUCUGCUGCUAUGACUUG